GAGUUUGAUCUUGGCUCAGAAUCAACGCUGGCGGCGCGCUUAACGCAUGCAAGUCGAACGAGAAAGUUCCCUUCGGGGAGCGAGUAAAGUGGCGGACGGGUGAGUAACACGUGGGUAAUCUGCCCUUGAGUGGGGAAUAACUCUGGGAAACCGGAGCUAAUACCGCAUACGAUCCUUCGGGAUGAAAGCUUUAUGCGCUCAAGGAUGAGCCCGCGGUCGAUUAGCUAGUUGGUGAGGUAAUGGCUCACCAAGGCGACGAUCGAUAGCCGGCCUGAGAGGGCACACGGCCACACUGGCACUGAGACACGGGCCAGACUCCUACGGGAGGCAGCAGUGGGGAAUCUUGGUCAAUGGGGGAAACCCUGAACCAGCGACGCCGCGUGACCGAUGAAGGCCCUCGGGUCGUAAAAGGUCUUUCGACGGGGACUAUAAUGAAUGUACCCGUAAAAGACAGGAGCGGCUAACUAUGUGCCAGCCGCCGCCGU
rnacentral:rRNA from 1 species